AACGAACGCUGGCGGCAUGCCUAACACAUGCAAGUCGAACGAGACCUUCGGGUCUAGUGGCGCACGGGUGCGUAACGCGUGGGAACCUGCCCUUAGGUUCGGAAUAACUCCCCGAAAGGGGUGCUAAUACCGGAUAAUUUCUUCGGACCAAAGAUUUAUCGCCUUUGGAGGGGCCCGCGUUGGAUUAGCUAGUUGGUAGGGUAAAAGCCUACCAAGGCGACGAUCCAUAGCUGGUCUGAGAGGAUGAUCAGCCACACUGGGACUGAGACACGGCCCAGACUCCUACGGGAGGCAGAAGUGGGGAAUAUUGGACAAUGGGCGAAAGACUGAGCCAGCAAUGCCGCGUGAGUGAUGAAGGCCUUAGGGUUGUAAAGCUCUUUUACCCGGGAUGAUAAUGACAGUACCGGGAGAAUAAGCGCCGGCUAACUCCGUG
rnacentral:rRNA from 1 species